UCAAUGUCGGAGCGAAAAAUCAGUUACAAGGUUUUGAAUGAUAGAGAAAGCGUGAAAGAUCUAAAGCAUGAAGUGGAUAGUUUUUGCUCAGUUAGUGUCAUGAUGAUUCAGGUUAUCAUGUCUUUAUUAACAGGCUGUGUCAGGACAAGCGUUGCAUGGCUCUAAUAUUCGCGAGAUGGUAUCUGGUGCACGCUCGUUUGCAACCAAACACUCCUUUUCUACUGAUAAAGGAAAAAUACAACUUUCUGAUCAGCAGAUGGUACGUUGCUACUGGAUCAGUUUAUUUUUGACGUUUUCUUGUUGCUUGGGUGUUCUUCAUGCAAGUGGUCAUCAAUGAAGGCCCAACACUUACAUAUUUUGUUCCUUUUUUGCUUUCAUCUUGCUGCACUAGAUACAAUAUCUGCAAAUCAAUGAAUUAGGACAUUUUUAUAUUCAUAGUGGUCAUUGUUAUCAUAUUAACCUUGAUGUAACUUGACUAUCUUGAUGUAACUUAACUGUAUUGAUGAGAGGAACAUAAUUAACAUUCUACACACUUGUAAACGUUGGGUAAGUAAACUGCAUUAUGUUUUUAA